UGCCUGCGCUUUUCUGGACUGUAGGGCGGUCCAGGAACAAGGGCUGGGCAAGACCGGUGCCAGCCGCCGCGGUAAUACCGGCAGCCCAAGUGAUGGCCGCUGUUAUUGGGCCUAAAGCGUCCGUAGCUGGCCGCACAAGUCCGUCGGGAAAUCCGCCCGCUCAACGGGCGGCCGUCCGGCGGAACCUGUGUGGCUUGGGACCGGGAGGCCUGAGGGGUACGAUCGGGGUAGGAGUGAAAUCCUGUAAUCCCGCUCGGACCGCCGAUGGGGAAACCACCUCAGGAGAACGGAUCCGACAGUGAGGGACGAAAGCCAGGGUCUCGAACCGGAUUAGAUACCCGGGUAGUCCUGGCCGUAAACGAUGCUUGUUAGGUGUGACUCCCACUACGAGUGGGUGUUGUGCCGUAGGGAAGCCGCUAAACAAGCC
rnacentral:rRNA from 1 species